GAAUUUUGGACAAUGGGGGAAACCCUGAUGCAGCGAUGCCGCUUGAGUGAAGAAGUAUUUCGGUAUGUAAAGCUCUAUCAGCAGGGACGAUAAUGACGGUACCUGACUAAGAAGCCCCGGCUAACUACGUGCCAGCAGCCGCGGUAAUACGUAGGGGGCAAGCGUUAUCCGGAUUUACUGGGUGUAAAGGGAGCGUAGACGGUAGGAUAAGUCAGAUGUGAAAGCCCGGGGCUCAACUCCGGGAUUGCAUUUGAAACUAUCCGACUAGAGUGCAGGAGAGGUAAGUGGAAUUCCUAGUGUAGCGGUGAAAUGCGUAGAUAUUAGGAGGAACACCAGUGGCGAAGGCAGCCCCCUGGGAUAAUACUGACGCUCAGACACGAAAGCGUGGGGAGCAAACAGG
rnacentral:rRNA from 1 species